GAUGAACGCUGGCGGCGUGCCUAAUACAUGCAAGUCGAGCGAACAGAUGAGGAGCUUGCUCCUCUGACGUUAGCGGCGGACGGGUGAGUAACACGUGGAUAACCUACCUAUAAGACUGGGAUAACUUCGGGAAACCGGAGCUAAUACCGGAUAAUAUAUUGAACCGCAUGGUUCAAUAGUGAAAGACGGUUUUGCUGUUACUUAUAGAUGGAUCCGCGCCGCAUUAGCUAGUUGGUAAGGUAACGGCUUACCAAGGCAACGAUGCGUAGCCGACCUGAGAGGGUGAUCGGCCACACUGGAACUGAGACACGGUCCAGACUCCUACGGGAGGCAGCAGUAGGGAAUCUUGCACAAUGGGCGAAAGCCUGACGGAGCAACGCCGCGUGAGUGAUGAAGGUCUUCGGAUCGUAAAACUCUUUUAUUAGGGAAGAACAAAUGUGUAAGUAACCAUGGCCGUCUUGACGGUACCUAAUCAGAAAGCCACGGCUAACUACGUG
rnacentral:rRNA from 1 species